UAAGGAAUAUUGCUCAAUGGGAGAAAUCCUGAAGCAGCAGCGCCGCGUGGAGGAUGAAGGGUCUAUGACUUGUAAACUCCUGUAAAGAAGGAAAAAAUUCCCAUUAGAUGGGAGAUGAUGGUACUUCUGGAGUAAGCCCCGGCUAACUACGUGCCAGCAGCCGCGGUAAUACGUAGGGGGCAAGCGUUGUCCGGAUUUACUGGGUGUAAAGGGUGCUCAGGCGGAUUUGUAAGUCAGAGGUGAAAUCUUACAGCUUAACUGUGAAACUGCCUUUGAUACUGCAAGCCUAGAGUAUGGAAGAGAGUGAUGGAAUAUCUGGUGUAGCAGUGAAAUGCGUAGAUAUCAGAUAGAACACCAAUGGCGAAGGCAGUCACUUGGUCCAUUACUGACGCUAAAGCACGAAAGCGUGGGUAGCAAACA
rnacentral:rRNA from 1 species